CGGUCCUGAGUACAGUGGCGCACGGGUGAGUAACACGUGACUAACCUACCCUGGAGUGGGGAAUAACUGAGGGAAACCUUAGCUAAUACCGCAUAAUACCUACGGGUCAAAGGAGCAAUUCGCUUCAGGAGGGGGUCGCGGCCGAUUAGCUAGUUGGCGGGGUAAUGGCCCACCAAGGCAAUGAUCGGUAUCCGGCCUGAGAGGGCGCACGGCCACACUGGAACUGAAACACGGUCCAGACUCCUACGGGAGGCAGCAGUGGGGAAUUUUGCGCAAUGGGGGAAACCCUGACGCAGCAACGCCGCGUGGAGGAUGAAGUCCCUUGGGACGUAAACUCCUUUCGACCGGGACGAUAAUGACGGUACCGGUGGAAGAAGCCCCGGCUAACUUCGUGCCAGCAGCCGCGGUAAUACGAGGGGGGCAA
rnacentral:rRNA from 1 species